CGGCCUAAUGGCUCAGUUGGUUAGAGCGCCGCCCUGUCACGGCGGAGGUCGCGGGUUCGAGUCCCGCUUGGGUCGU
rnacentral:tRNA from 1 species